GGAUAUAUCUAGAUAGGGUUUUAAAAGAAAUAAUGAUGAAAAAAAUAAGAUACUUAAAAAUAAACACUGACAAAUAUCCUAGGUAUAUCUAACAAGUUUCGGUAGCUGAUAUGUAUCAGAUCAUGCACAUUGAAAUAUCUGUACUACCUAGGUUGGCAAAAGGCCUGGGAUCAUAUCUUUUUAGGUCUAUUCUGAAUGUACAAUUCAAUUUCGGUAGUCAUUUUUCAUUUCAGUUGGAAAAUACAGUCGGAUAUUUGGAGUACUAUAAGUGAUCAAGGGAUAGUAACUCAUAUCACAGGAGGAAAUUUUGCACAGAUUUCCAUUACUAUUAACGGGUGGCUCCGAGCUACAAAGUUCAGAAGCAACAAGAUAAGGAUUCUAACUGGAUAAAUACAUAUUCAUGUUUACCUCCUCACACGCUUUGCAUCAGCAGGGUCUAUAUUUUCUGUUGUUUCCACUUCUCCUUCAAGUUCCUCAUCAUCCGACUGCUCUCCUGAUGAUCCACUGGUAGUUGGGCUCCCUUGGACGCCUAAGUUCUACAUGAAGGUAGGAGCUGGACCUCCACUUGAUCCACUACCUGCUUUUUGUUGCACCUUGGAGCCGUUUCCUGUCAUGCAUGGGUAGAUGCAAGAAGGAAAAAAGAAAGAAAGAAAGAAAAAGAAAUAUCUCAUGUUUAAAAAACCAAUCCACGCACCACAAUGUGCUCAUAAAAAGUAGCAAUCCACCAAUAACAUUU
rnacentral:lncRNA from 1 species